rnacentral:rRNA from 1 species
UACGUAGGGGGCAAGCGUUGUCCGGAAUCAUUGGGCGUAAAGAGCGUGUAGGCGGCCCGAUUAGUCCGCUGUGAAAGUCCAGGGCUCAACCCUGGAAUGCCGGUGGAUACUGUCGGGCUAGAGUCCGGAAGGGGCGAGUGGAAUUCCUGGUGUAGCGGUGAAAUGCGCAGAUAUCAGGAGGAACACCAAUGGCGAAGGCAGCUCGCUGGGACGUGACUGACGCUGAGACGCGAAAAGCGUGGGGGAGCAAACAGG